AACAUAUAUUUUUUUAAACAUGUACAUUAAUUUUAAUAGGCUAACAUUGCAAUUUCAACAUCAUAUCAUUGAACUUGCAUUAUAUAUUGAUUUUACAAAGUUAAUCCACAUAAAUUUGUUAGUGUUUAUAUUCAAACAACACACGUGACGGACCUGACUAAACCUCAUUGGUUCUUGGGAUUCAGUACGUCACAUUGGCUUCCUGAUUCAGUUGUUCGAUACACAACGUGCGUGAUCGUUGGUAAAUGUGGAUUAAAAGUUGAAACUAAAACUGUUAAAUUAUAUAUAGUGAUCAUCAGAGGACUUGGCUGAAACAACGCGAUUCACAUGGAUUACUUCGGCGAUGUUUUUUAUUGCUGUUGCGAUUAACUUUUUGAAAUGUGAGCAGUUUUUAAGUAUCAAGUGGAUCUGACAUCGAGGGGAAAUAUACGUUUCUUGGAUUUCAUUAAAGUACAUCGGUUUUUGUUUGAAGAUGAAUGAGAGAACAUGAGGCACAGCGGCAUUCAAAUUGACCAAUCAGAGCCAAGAAUAUCUAAUAAGUCGAAGUAGAGAUGAACAUAUGAAGAUACAGCCCGUAAAAAUACUUAUUCUUGGUGAGUGCCAUGUAGCGACGGAUCAAACGGACACUCAUGUCAAGCUUGAUGAGGACACAGUCAAAGAUUUAAAAGACCUUGUGAUUAAGUCUUCAGUGUCUGAAUGGCAAGAAGAAGUGACCCUCCACUUAAACGUGACAUUUAAACUGCUCUGUGUUUUGGUUCAGCCAUUUGUAGGU